ACAAAGAGAGCAGAGAGAGAGAGAGAGAGAGAGAGAGAGAUUGAGAGAAGGAGAUCCAAAUAUAAACAUAAAAGAACACUUUCUUACUUACUUCUUCUUCUCUCUCUCUCUCUCUCUCUCUCUCUCUCUCUCUCUUUGUGU
rnacentral:miRNA from 1 species